rnacentral:rRNA from 1 species
CGUAGGGGCCGAGCGUUGUCCGGAGUUAUUGGGCGUAAAGCGCGCGCAGGCGGCUUCGCGCGUCCGACGUGAAAGCCCCCGGCUCAACCGGGGAGGGUCGUUGGGUACGGCGGAGCUUGAGGGCGGUAGAGGUUGGUGGAAUUCCCGGUGUAGUGGUGAAAUGCGUAGAGAUCGGGAGGAACACCUGUGGCGAAGGCGGCCAACUGGGCCGACCCUGACGCUGAGGCGCGAAGGCGUGGGAGCGAACGGGAUU